CGAAUUAGAGCUACAGGCCGAAACAGGACAUGGGCGCGGGGGCUGCUCACCAGGCCUCAUGGGCCGGCUCGGUGGGGAGAAGGCCAGGCAGGGGCGCUGGGCCUUGGAGGCUGCUGGCCCAGGCGCUGCAGGCGCGGUCAACGAAGGGGCGAGGCGGUCGUCGCUCGAUCCCGAACUGCGCACGAAGCAGGGGAAGGAGAGGCUGGGCUCUGUCCUUGGCGCGGGCGGGACAGUAAGCAGGGCGAGGCGGUGCUGCUUGAUCCCAGGAUCGACGAGAUGGGGACUGCAGGUGGCGGACGGCGGCGGGGAACAACGGGAUGGGCGCGGGGAGGCGCCUGGUUCCAGAUCCGGCUAGGGGAGGUGCGGAUCGGAUCUCCGAGCUGGGGGGGAACGAGCUACAAGGCCAUGGCUGCAACUGUUGCCUGAAGAAAAAAGACAGAGAAGAAAUCAGAGGGGAAACGCGGACGGGAAGAAGGGAGAGAUGACAGGGAGAUGGCAGGGGCACGACGGCCUGAGGCGAACCUGCUGGUCGCCAGCAGGAGUAGGCAACGCUGGAAACGGCGGGGAGGUCUACAGGGUAGAGGUCGUCGAGCUCGGAAGGGGUAGCGCCCAUGGCCUCCUGGUGUUCCUACUGGAGCUGCUCGCCUGCGGGACGACGGCAAGGGCGGAGCAAGGCGAGGGCGUGGGCGACGAGGGACUGAAGCUGGAGGUCCAACGGGGCGGCACACGAAGUCAACCGAGGAGGCUGUCCAUGGAGGCGCUGCGAAGACAACAGAGAGAGCGAGAGCAGCGUGAGAGAGAGAGAAACAGAAGCAGGAGGGAAAAGGGAGCAAGGCUCUCGGGGCACUCAUCUGCUGGUUGGAUUGGCCGACGACGGGGCUGUCGAGGCGCAGGCAUGGGAGCUGCUGCUCCGACGGUGAUGGACGGGAGGGGUGGCUCGGGAGGAGAGGUGGAGGUUGAUUGGGUGGAUCGGGCAGCGGAGAUCCCGAGGGGGAUUCAGCUAGCGGUGGCGUGAGACCGGAGGGAUGGGACAUCUCCCUAGAUUUUAGGGUUAGUCUAGAUUAGGUAUGAGGUUGGGCUAUAAAUAGACAAAGGGGGGAAAUUUGGGUCAACCGAUCGGGAUCAGACGGUCGAGAAAGAAUAGACUAGGGGAGUCCAAAAGAGAAAACGAAGAUAUUUUGUAGAUGUUAGGGGAUGAUCCGGACUCAUUGGUCAUGACCGCUCAGGUGGGGUUCAGGGGAGUUUCGGACGCGCGCACGAGGGGGCUGCGAGCUGGCAAGAGAGGCUAGGUGGUCACGGUCAAGAGGGAAGCGAAACCCUAAUUGGUCUGGAACGGCCAAAAAAAGGAAGGGGGGACACGGCAACUACGAGCGGAUACAAGUUUUAUGAAAACGAUGUCGAUGCAAUGCGAAUGAGAUGAGAUGCAUGACAUGAAUAAAAUGCAAAACAAAAGACAAAAAUCCAACCACGAAGGAAAUAUCAUAUCGCAUCUCUGGAAAAUGCAAGAGUCGGAGUUACGAAUAUGGAAAGUUGUAUCCGGGGCGUUACAACACUCCACCACUACGAGAGGAUCUCGUCCCGAGAUCUAGGAUGGCACCGGAGAGAAACGGAAGAGGAAGAGAAUAGGUAAAACUAAGUUGCUUCUUCGACCAAUGAGUGAAACCACGAACCUUGAGAGGUUGAACAAAUUGAAAGAAACAAAACAAUGGAUAUGACCAAGAUUGCAAACAGUCCGUUAGAAAAGAGGAACAAGGAACAUUACGAGAACUUGAAGGUUGCAAAGACAUGAAUGACGAGCACAAUGGACAAGAAGGAAUUGAAACCACUCUGGUUGAAACGAGAUAAGAAUGAAUAAGAAUGAUAUAAUUUUGACAGCACUCCGACUGUAAAUGGAAGAAAUUGAACAUGAACUUGACAAGAUGAGAGGAUACUUGAUGAAAUCAACAACACACUGCCUCCGGAACUAUUGAAAAAAUGGCACAAGGGGUAAGAAAAUUUCAGAUAGCACUCCGGUUGUGAAGGGGGGCAAAACUUGAUAAGAAGAAAGAACUUGGAUAAGCAAGAAAAUAACAUGAUCUUGACAAAACGAGAUGAUGGGUCAACGAGAGCAACCUCACAAAGCCUCCGGAAGAAAGAAUAGAAGAUAGAUCAUUGGAAUAACAGAAUGGAGAAGGAAAUGCCAACUUCUGCCACAAAUGAGCUUGGAAAGCAUCCUUGCAAAGAAGAAUUGAACAGAGUUGUUGGAAAACCAACAACAAAAGGAUAUGAUCCUCGUGGGCUUAUGUAGACAUCUCAAAACUUGAGGUGAAAUUCUGCCACUACGGAACAAAUAAUAUAAUUGAUAACACCGACGAGAUGAAUUUUUUUUCCACCAAGAUGAUAGAGAGAUAACUUGAAUCAUUGAUAAGCACCACAAAAGCAACAAUCCUUAGGGAAGGCUUUAGGUGAAAUAUGACACAAGAUAACUCCAACAAUGAGGUUGAUGGAUUUAAAAUACCUCAUUCUUGACAACAUGUGAAUCACGAAACAUGAAUGGAAAUCGUCAAGAAUGAUAUAACACCAUCUCACAAGAUAAGGUAGGAAUACUUGCACUUCGGAUGCAAGAUGAAGAAUGCUUGAACUCCUCAAAACAAAACAUGUGUUGGGCACCAUGUUUAUUUAGAGUAUAGCUUGGCGGGUCAUAACUUCAUGAGAAAUGUUGAAGAACAAUAGAAGAAUGAAAAGAAUCCUUGAUGAACCACCAUGUAGAGCCUCAAUGAAGAACUCCGGUAAUAAAAGGAUGAUAAAAAGAAAGAGAAGUUGAAAAACACAAGGUGAAGCCUUGCAAUGAUUUAGAUGGAGCUUCGCGAUGAUAUAACCGAGAAAACUUGGAACUCCGGAAAAGGAAAAGAUGAAACACUAGAACCGAGAAUUACUUCAUAAUGAACAAUCUCUGGAAGAAAAGAAUUGAAUCACCUCGAGGAAAUAAGAAUAAGAUUUAUUGUAUGCUUAUCCUUCAUCAAAUUAAAUUGAUGACAAGCAAUGGAUUUGGCAUACUACUUAUUCCCGUAGAAAGGAUUUAGAGAGAUAUAGCGCAAACUUGAGAAGGUAUUGAUGGAACCACCGAUGGGAUUGGAAACAACGAAUGAAAUGAUAACGAAGGAAGUGAAAUCUUGAACGAACCACCGUAAGAAUUAAAAAUGAGAGUAGCAAAGGCACAAUUCACCGGGAAGAAUUGGAAAACGAAUGAAGAUACUUGAGGGGAUUUAGAUACAAGUGAACGAAGAGAUCAUGAGCUUAUUAGAGAAUACUUGAAUGAUGCACUGGUAGAAUAUGGAGAAGGAGAGUUAAAAGCUGAGAAUGAAUAAACCCGAAAUGAUGGCCUUCAUAGGAAUAAAAUGGAAAGAACUCACGAAAUGCCCUGGGUGGUAAGAAAAGAAUUGUCACAAUCAACAAUAAUUAUGAGGAUGGAAUGAAGCUAGAACCAUGAAUCUUGAAGAGAAUGGAGCAAGAUUUAAGAGAAAUCCUUCUUCGGUCUUCAAAUGUUGAGAAUGAUGAUGAGAACCACCAUGACAAUUGUUGAGGCACUCCGGAAUGAAAAUAGGAAAGGUUGAACCAGCGAUGAAAAGAAUUUGAAAGAUCUUGGAGAAAGACAUAUGACUGAUGAUAACCCAUUAUUAUGUCAAACUUUGAAAAGAAUUUUAGAAGCUCCGGGAAAAUUAGAAGAGUCAGGUAAGAUCCUGGGAAAAGACCUAUGGGUUAGGGCCCACUCAAGAGAAACACCGUUGAAACAAUUUUAAAGAGAGAUUGCACCGGUAGAAUAAAAUGACUAGAAUGAGAUAAUAAUCUCCAAAUAGCUUGAACGGAUUAAGAAUGGAAACACAAAUCUUCUGAGAUAUCUUCAACACUCUGGAACAAAUGAAUAGCAAGAGGUGAGUGAUUGAGAGGUGCACCGGCAUGAGAAAGCAUUAGAAACGAGGAAAUGAAUAUGAUGAAUAUCGAAAGCUUGAAUUAGAUCCACCGGAGAAGAAACAACAAUGAAGGAUGAUGAACUUGAAACUAUUGAGCAUCUUCAUGGGAAAUCACCAGAUAAGAACAUUGACGGAAAAGAAUGGAGAGUCUUCCCAUCAAUAAAAUGGAUACCCGAUUAAGAAAUCUGAGUCCUUGAAGAAAAGGGUGGGAGGGUGCGGAAAAACAAAGACAACUUGGGAUGAACAAAACAAACACCGUUGAGAAAACUUAGAAUUGAUCUUGCGGAUGGGGAGAAUGAUGGGAUCAUCUCGAAGAGAAGCGCACCGGUUGGAAAAAAAUUAACAUGACAACCUCAAUGAUCAAGAAGGAUCAGUAUUCACAUAGCAAUAUGAGAACACCGCUUGAAAGGUAUGAAAUCAACACUUGACAUUGAAGCAACUCGAAUACCACAACUCAAAACAAAACAAAGGAUUGGCUUGUUGAAUAAGCCAGAACAAAUACAUAGAUAGAGAUUUACCCAAUCCCAUAUCAUGCAUCUGUCGGAAAGAUAUUCUAGGAGCUACUUGAAUUCCCACCUAUAAAACUCCCGAAACUUUCUGGUUAUGCAAUCUGGUGUUGGGGAUACAGGGGAAGCAAUAUAUCUCACCCAAACUAACAAUCCCUACAUCCAGCUGUAUCCAUCCGUCAACACAUAACCAAGAAAACUUCGGAAAUCGUGUACCUCAGCCUUCAAAAAUCAUCUGUUAUAUGAGUUAUGGCAAUACUCCCGAACUCCCCAAUACUGGGUGACGUCGAGGUUAUCUCACCAACAACUGCAUAAAAGAGAUUUUCGAUGUCGGCAAAACUCAGGUAUUCCAGAACUGCAACGAUAAAAUUGUGACGACAACACCUCGGAGCUCAACUUCCCGGGUCAAUGCCACAUAAUAGACAGGAGGCACCAAGAACAAUGUUCUCGUCACAAGAAUAUCGGAACGAUCCCAAGAAACCCGUGUGAUCCUAAUUUUUUAGUGAAAUUUGUGGAGAGGAAAGACAAAACAUCUACGUCAGGAGUCCUCGCCAGAGCGACGAAGGGGGUUGAGGAGUAAAAAGAAUCCUACUCUCCGAUAUAAAUAUAAUCCUAAGACUCAAAACAGUUUUCUUCUAGACUCAACAACGACCAACAAUCAAGGGGGCUCCUAUGGUCGGUCGAGGCUCUGAUUACCAACUUGUCACGCCCAAUAUGCGAUACUAUCCUAAAGAGACUCGAAGGUCCCACCAAGCAUAGAACCGCAUAUUGAAACGCUUUUGCAAGGUGGAUAUAAUUACAUGAACAUUACAUAAUAGAUGGGGAUACAUACAAGAGGCAUACAAUGCCACACGAAUACAACAUCACAAUACAUAAGAGCAUCAUCUGACUACGGAUGAAACACAAACAGAAACUCAAACGACAUCCACCCUGCUAGCCCAGGCUGCCGACCUGGAACCUAUCCCCUGAUCGAAGAAGCAGAAGAAGAACUCAACGCAAGCAAGCAUCGCUCUCGCGUCAUGAUCAUCGCAUAACCUGUACCUGAAACUGUUGUUGUAGUAAUCUGUGAGCCACGAGGACUCAGCAAUCCCAUUACCAUGGGUAUCAAGACUAGCAAAGCUUAAAGGGAAAGGAAGGGGUAAAGUGGUGAGGUUGCAGCAGCGACUAAGCAUGAUAUGGUGGCUAACAUACGCAAAUAAGAGCGAGAAGAGAGCAAGCAGAACGGUCGUGAAGCUAGCAAUGAUCAAGAAGUGAUCCUGAACUCCUACUUACGUCAAUCAUAACCCAAAACCGUGUUCACUUCCCGGACUCCACCGAAAAGAGACCAUCACGGCUACACACGCGGUUGAUGCAUUUUAAUUCAGAUCUGGUGUCAAGUUAUCUACAACCGGACAUUAACAAAUUCCCAUCUGCCUAUAACCGCAGGCACGACUUUCGAAAGAUUAUACCCUGCAGGGGUGUCCCAACUUAGCCCAUGAUAAGCUCUCGCGAUCAACGAAGGAUAUAGCUUCUCCCAGGAAGACCUGAUCAGACUCGGAAUCCCGGUUUACAAGACAUUUCGACAAUGGUAAAACAAGACCAGCAAAGCCGCCCGAUGCGCCGACAAUCCCGAUAGGAGCUGCACAUAUCUUGUUGUCAGGGCAACACCGGAUGAGCAAUCCGUACAACUAAAACCAGACCUCAAGUUUCCCUGAGGAGGCGCUGCAAAGGGCUCUGGUUCGGACCAACACUCAGACAAGCACUGGCCCGGGGGGGGGGCUAAAAUAAAGAUGACCCUCGGGCUCCAGAAACCCAAGGGAAAAAAGGGGUAGGUGAGGCAAAUGGUAAAACCAAGGUUGGGCCUUGCUGGAAGAGUUUUAUUCAAAGCAAACUGUCAAGGGGGUCCCAUAAAUCACCCAACCGCGUAAGGAACGCAAAAUCCAGGAACAUAACACCGGUAUGACGGAAACUAGGGUGGCAAGAGUGGAACAAAACACCAGGCAUAAGGCCGAGUCUUCCACCCUUUACCAAGUAUAUAGAUGCAUUAGUAAUAUAAGAGAUAUUGUGAUAUCCCAACAAAAACAUGUCCACCAUGGAGCAAUCUUCAACUUCACCUGCAACUAGCAAUGCUAUAAGAGGGCUGAGCAAAGCGGUAACAUAGCCAAGCAAUGGUUUGCUAGGAAGGGUGUCAAAGGUUAGAGGCUGACAUGGCAAUUUGGGAGGCUUGAAGAGCAAAUGAUAGGUAGCGCAGCAUAGCGAUAGAACGAAGCAACUAGCAUAGCAAUGAUAGUACUGAGAUCCAGGGUAGCAGUCAUCUUGCCUGAAAUCCCGCUAGGAAGAAGAACGAGUCCAUGAAGAAGACAACCGGACAUAGUCGAACGAAUCCUCACAACUCCGGAACGAAACCGAAGCUACCGAGAGAAGCAAACCGGAAAGAAGCAAACAACAUGGUAAACCAACAAGCAUAAGCAUGGCAUGAUGCACAAUCAAGUAUGAUGCAUGUCCGUUUAACGAGGCAUGGCAUGGCAAAGUGCAACAAACAAUACUACAAGUUAAGUGGAGCUCAAUAUGCAACGAGUUGCAUAUUGACGAAACACCACAUCAAUUAUUUAGUUCUCUCUCGUUUAGGUACACAACAAUAUUAAAUGUUGUUAAACAUGGCAAGAGGUGGAACAAAAGUAAUCUAACUAUUUAGGCAAGUUUAAAUGAGGCCGGAACAACAAACAAUAAUUCCGGAAAAUCCCCAUAUGCAUAUUUUAGAUUCGGUACUUUUCUGCCCUAAACCAUAUUUUAAGGUUGUUAAACAGGAAAAUAAAGUGGACCAUGUUAAACUAGGCAUUUUUCACCCAAUUUACAUAUAAAGUUUAUUAAAAUUGGAGCUACGGUUAUUUAGUUAUGAAUUAAAGCAUUUUAGCAUGGCAUUUAUGCAAAUUAAUUCAAACAACACAUUUACACAAUUUUAACAUGGGUGAAAGUUGCAAAUUAUUAAUCUACACAAAAUUCUAAGCAUUUUACAUGUAUAAAUUAUUUACAAAAGAUGCAUGGUUUGUGAGUAAUUAUAUGCAUGAAGUUCAAGGGUUUUUCUGUAAAAUCUGUUACACACUGGAAUAAUGCUAAAUUCGCAGGACCAGGAAAAAAAAACAUAUCGGGCCGAAUUAGAGCUACAGGCCAAAACAGGACAUGGGCGCGGGGGCUGCUCACCAGGCCUCAUGGGCCGGCUCGGUGGGGAGAAGGCCAGGCAGGGGCGCUGGGCCUUGGAGGCUGCUGGCCCAGGCGCUGCAGGCGCGGUCAACGAAGGGGCGAGGCGGUCAUCGCUCGAUCCCGAACUGCACACGAAGCAGGGGAAGGAGAGGCCGGGCUCUGUCCUUGGCGCGGGCCGGACAGUAAGCAGGGCGAGGCGGCGCUGCUUGAUCCCAGGAUCGACGAGAUGGGGCCUGCAGGCGGCGGACGGCGGCGGGGAACAACGGGAUGGGCGCGGGGAGGCGCCUGGUUCCAGAUCCGGCUAGGGGAGGUGCGGAUCGGAUCUCCGAGCCGGGGGGGAACGAGCUACAAGGCC
rnacentral:lncRNA from 1 species